AAAAACCAAAUGAGGAUGCAACAGAGUUCCUAGAAAGGAUUUAUCAAGCUUAUAGGCACUACACAGAUGCAGACGCUGAGGCCCCUGAGAAUGUAAGGAUGAUAAAUAUGACUUUCAUCGGGCAAAGUGCCCCAGAUAUAGGGAAAAAAUUACAGAAGUUAGAUGGUGCAUUUGGAAUGAACCCUUCUCAAUUAGUAGAUGUUGCUUUUAAAGUAUUCAACAACAGGGAACAACGACAGAAGCAAGAAGAUGCAAAAUGGAAUGCACCUUUUCUGGCAGCAGCAUUGAAUUCCCAGAAGGGGAAUAAAAUUUGCCACCCCAAAAUGUCUCGUUGGCAUGUGGAUUAUUUCAAGCUGAAAACCAUCAAGACCCCAAGGACUCAGGAAGAAUCUUUGACCAUCCCCCUAACUGCCUAAAAGAAUUUAGAUAGAAGGCCUGUUCCUGGAAUAGAGCUAUCACCAGAGAUCUCUGCAGAUUAGGAGACACACAGAUGGCCAAAAAACACAUGAAAAGAUGCUCAACAUCACUAAUUAUUAGAGAAACGCAAAUCAAAACUACAAUGAGGUAUCACCUCACACCGGUCAGAAUGACCAUCAUCAAAAAAUCUACAAACAAUAAAUGCUGGAGAAGGUGUGAAGAAAAGGAAACCUUCCUACACUGUUGGUGGGUAUGUAAACUGGUACAGCCACUAUGGAGAACAGUAUGGAAGCUCCUCAAAAAACUGAAAACAGAACUACAAUCCCUCUCCUGGGCAUAUACCUGGAGAAAACCAUAAUUCAAAAAGAUACAUGUACCCUAAUGUUCAUUGCAGCACUAUUUACAAUAGCCAGGACAUGGAGGCAACCUAAAUGUCCAUCAACAGAGGAAUGGAUAAAGAAGAUGUGUUACAAAUAUACAAUGGAAUAUUACUCAGCCAUAAAAAGGAACGAAAUAGUGCCAUUUGCAGAGACAUGGAUAGACCUAGAGACUGUCAUACAGAGUGAAGUAAGUCAGAAAGAGAAAAACAAAUAUUGUAUAAUAUCACUUAUAUGUGGAAUCUAGAAAAAUGGUACAGAUGAACUUAUUCUCAAAGCAGAAAUAGAGACACAGAUGUAGAGAACAAACUUACGGAUGCCAAGGGGGGAAGGGAGGGGUGGCAUGAAUUGGGAGAUUGGGAUUGACAUAUAUACACUACUAUGUAUAAAAGAGAUAACUAAUGAGAACCUACUGUAUACCACAGGGAUCUCUACUCAGUGCUCUGUGGUGACCUAACUGGGAAGGAAAACUAAGAAAGAGGGGAUAUAUGUAUAUGUAGAACUGAUUCACUUUGCUGCACAGCAAAAACUAACACAACACUGUAAAGCAACCAUACUCCAAUAAAUAUUUCUUUUAAAAUUGUGAGUUUUAAUCCUAUUUCUUCCAGAAAAUGUGACACCAGGUCAAAAGUCACUUCAGAAGUGAAGCCAUCUCCAACUCCCUAGGUUUCAUUAAAUAUAUUGUAGCACUAAUCACAUCAAAUUGUAGUAACUCAUUUGGCUGUCCUUGAGAUGAUGAAACCCUGAAAUCAGGGUCUAAAUAUAAUUUGUCUUUGUAGCCCUGUGUCUAACAAAUAACAGAUUCUAAAUAUAUGAUUAUUAGAUUCAGUCAGACUAUAGAAUAGGUGU